rnacentral:lncRNA from 10 species
GGCGGACGUGACGUAACGUCUUGGCUUGUCUGCGUCAGCGAAAGGCCUCAAUUUCCUGUCCUCUGCUUACUGCCCCUUUUUUUGCCUGCGAAUGGCGGCGAUUUGAAGUUGGGGCUUUUCGUUUCCUCCAAAACAUUGAUAUCUGGAAAGGGAGCCCCUUAACACUUUUGGAGGGAACUGGCUGCAGCAUUUGGCGGGGAGAGAUAAACUGGUUUCCCACCUCUGCUUACUCCCACCUUCUCCCCUUAAUCUUCUCUUCCUCUGUGCGAGACUUUUUUCCUUUUUUAUUGUAGACACAGGGUCUUUGUUCUGCUGCCCAGGUUGGAGUGCAGUGGCGUGAUCAUAGCUCACUGCAGCCUCAACCCCCCGGGCCCAAGCGAUCCUUCCACCUCAGCCUCCCGAGUAGCUGGGCCUAGAGGUGCACACCACCAUGCCUGGCUAAUUUUUAAUUUUUUUUGUAGAGAUGGAGCCUUUCUAUGUUGCCAAGCCUAGCCUCGAACUCCUGGCCUCCCAAAAUGUGGGGAAUACAGGCGUGAGCCACUGCACCCCGGGUCAUUCCUCUUUUACUUCCUUGCUGUACCCCAACUAUCCUUCCCCCUCGGUGCCCUUAAAACCUUUGCAUUGGGACUUAACGGUAAUAGAAUGGCAUUCCUCACUGCCUCCGAACCACUCAAGCUGCUGCCCAUGCACUCUCUUCUGCAUGGCUCCUGGACUAAGCAGCCUCCCUUUGAUUAAGCAGAAAACACAACAGACCUAAGGAAAUGAAGCAGCU